ACUCUGUAGACGAGGGUUUUUGUGUGGACCAGCAAUGGAUCAACUCAAAAUCACAGAAGCUCCGUUCUACGGGUCU
rnacentral:pre_miRNA from 1 species